UGGGGAAUUUUGGACAAUGGGGGCAACCCUGAUCCAGCCAUUCCGCGUGAGUGAAGAAGGCCUUCGGGUUGUAAAGCUCUUUCGGCAGGAACGAAACGGUGAGCUCUAACAUAGCUUGCUAAUGACGGUACCUGAAGAAGAAGCACCGGCUAACUACGUGCCAGCAGCCGCGGUAAUACGUAGGGUGCGAGCGUUAAUCGGAAUUACUGGGCGUAAAGCGUGCGCAGGCGGUUGUGUAAGACAGGUGUGAAAUCCCCGGGCUUAACCUGGGAACUGCGCUUGUGACUGCACAGCUAGAGUAUGGCAGAGGGGGGUGGAAUUCCACGUGUAGCAGUGAAAUGCGUAGAGAUGUGGAGGAACACCGAUGGCGAAGGCAGCCCCCUGGGCCAAUACUGACGCUCAUGCACGAAAGCGUGGGGAGCAAACAGG
rnacentral:rRNA from 1 species